AGUGCUCGACAGACGAAGACGAUCCGAUCCGCGAUGAACGGAACCGAAUAAUAAUGCCCAUGGACUGAUGGCCCCCAACAGCGGAAGCAUUACAGCGACACGAUGAGCCGGCGAUCGAACAGGCGAUGGACACACCAGUAUAAGUGUCGACAAGAGCAAAGAAGAUUCUCGCGUAAUCUCAUUCUUUGAGAUGGUCAGACAUCCCUCAAGUCAUUCAGAAAUCAGGCAGGCAUGCUUAUGCUUUAGCUUUACCCCCAGUCCCCAGAUAUAUGCUGAAAGACAACGGCGAAUAUGGGGGCACAACAUCUGCCUGCCUAGUGAGGUUGGGCACCCAGCCACUAGCUCGAUCAGCUCCCACACAACGCAGCCAGCAGCAGCAGCUGGGGCUGAAAGACUGAAAGAGAGAGCUUUGGAAGGGAGCUUGGGUUCCUGGCUAGGAGCUUGACAUGUUUUGUGCUAUGUCUGGACACUGGACAGGAUCACGACAGGGGGUCGGCAGGUGUUGGAUCUGGAAUCUCACAGGUCACAGCGCACGCAACAAAUGGCCAGCGGAAUCAUGGAGGGGAGGGGAGAUGAACGCCGAAAGGCCAGAGCCGAGAGGUAAACUGCUGGACCCUAGCCUCGCUAGCCCCUAUCCAUCCAUCCAUCCAUGAUCCUUGAUCUAUUGUCUAAAAAGUCAUCGUUGAAAGUACUGUUCGCUGAUUGAUUCGUUGAUUCAGCUCAAGCGAACAGUCUCAAUACCUAACCCUGCACCUUCACCUGCAUGGCUGCUGCCCUGCCUCUGCCUAACCCCAACUGUAACCCCAACUGUCAACCAUCUUCUUGGAGCUAGUAGAUCUGAGCGACGGAUCCUUCUCGGCCUGGAUGGGAACACACCACAUGCUCCCACCCCAGCGGGCAGCGGCUGCAUCCGACCUGAUCGUGGAACCAACGGCCUAGAUCACCAGCAGGUGGUCUUGAGAUUCCUGCCCCUCUCAAGUUUUACAACUUUCAGAGUUUCAGUGGAGCUGGACCAUGCAAGAUGCUCAGCUCUGGUGUUCAAAGAAAUCAAAGAAUCUCUCGCUUGUGGCUAGUAGGAGGUUGAGGGAUGAGGGACAGCGGUUCAUGGACAUGCGGUGUUUGGUUCGCGGGAGAUGGAUAAAUCUGUAGGCGAAGCGAACCAGAUUGGUAUGUAAAGCUAGAAGAGAUUCGCACAGCAUAGGCACAUAGAGGACAGCGACACUUGUGGCCACAACAGGGGAUGAACCAUGGCCUUGUGUAUAUCAGCGCAGCGCGCGCCUGAUCUGAAUGCGCGGAGCUUAUUUCCAACGCCUAGGUCAAUUGCGUUCUCAUCA